rnacentral:lncRNA from 1 species
AGCACAUGACUCAAGCUCAGCCAAUCAAAGUACCUCCCCCAAAUUAUUUAAAUCAAAUCUCAGGGGGAAGAACCCCUAAACUCUUGAGAGCUAGAAACACGAGAUCCAGAGCUACCAACAAAAACAGUUUUCAUUUGGGAAAGGUUAGCAAUUCUCCAGUUUUCCUUGGAUUUUGGAAUGACAAAGAACCACAGAAAGGGGCGGUGAACAAGAUCAUACAGCUGGACAUUACAAUGAUCCACCCAGGGAGUAGGGUGUUCUACAGCAUGUCUUCAGAUCAGCCCAAUGAUUAUCUGAGUUCAAUGACUAUCUGAUGCUGGGCCAGAUUCUAUGCUAAGUAAUAGUGCACACAGAGAGAUAGGCAUUACGCCUGCCCUUGGGGUUCAAAGUCUAGGGCUUUGAAUCUCAGAGCUCCAGAGUAAAUCAGAAUAUUCCUUCCAUGGCCAAGAAAGAGAAGAAAGAUAAUUGUUUAAAAAAAAAACCCACUAAAGGGCUGAAGGGGUUUUAACUAAAGAAAGACCAAGAAUAUGCUAGAAACCUCCUGUGUGCCAGGUUCAGAGUGGUACAAAAAAAUGUAAGCAAUGACCAAAAAAGGAUCAUUUCUUAGAAAUUGGGAUUCAUCUGAAGUAGGCACAGGGCCUGCAAGGCAAGAAAUCAGAGGGCUUGCAAAUAGGCGUGUCUAUCUGGCAAUAAGCUUGUUUUCAUCUCAGAAGACAUGGAAGCUCCAGCUAGAUAACACGCGGGCUCCUUGCUUCUUUCAAACAAGCAUUCGCAUAACACUGUAAGAGCUCUGGGAAAGAAAAUUGUCCUCUACAGAGAUCACAGUAUACAUAAGAACAAACUAUUUUGAAUUAAGUGCUGAAAUUGUAAGACCCACGGGGAGACCUGUAUGCAACGAAGCUGAAAGGAAGCUGAAAGGAGUACCUUCCUGCACUGAGGGACCGCCUCCCUGGCCAAGGCCACCCUAGGUCUUGAUGAUUAGCUAGAGGGACUCAGAGAACUCAGAAAAGCCAUUUCUUAGUUUAUUACAACAGAUGGUUAUGUAGUCACAUCAGCAAAGGGAAAAAGUACAGAAGAUGGAAUCCAGGAGAGAUCAAGAAAAUGAUCCGGGACAAGGGACAGUCACCAGACACAAGAGAGGGGAGAAUCAGGCCUCUGGAACCUGAACCAACAGAGCAAUCAGAGAGAGAAAAUGAAACAAAUAGAUAAAAGUGAUUAGGAAGAUACAGAAGGGAUUGGAAGCCAGAAGGAAGGAAUUGAAAGACAGGAAAAUUGCAUGAAUUUUGAAUAAAAUCCAAACCCCAAAAUAAUUACUUUGGAAU